rnacentral:lncRNA from 1 species
AAAGUAUAAAGGUUAUUUGGGAGAAGGAAAAAUUAUUUCUCAAUAUUAACUCCAUAGACAAAAGCCCAAUUUUCAUAAUAAGCUAGGAGAAAUCGAUAAUGUUUUAAAAAUAAAAAGUGAACUGCUUACACUCACCAAUCUAUACCCAGUAUUAAUUCUAUCCUGCAGUGUAUGCUAUAGAAGGUAAUAAAACGCUGAUGUUUCCUAGUUUCUCGUUUCAAUCUGCUCCAGCUUUCUCUUCAACCUGGUUAGCAACAGAAGUCACCCCCAGCAAUUACACAAACCUAACAACGGCUUCCCUGGGAUAAUUUGAUCCGCUCCAACCACACAUUCCAAUCCACAUACUUUCUUCCGUUACGGUUGUUGUCUGUGUGUGUUUAACAUGCUUCUUGAAAGGCUUUUUUAAAAUAUCGAGCCAAGGAUUUCUCAUCCAGCUCGCUACCACAUCAACAGAACCAGAAUAUGAUUUAGUUCAGCUUCAGAUGACAGUACAGCAAAGUAUUACUGUCAUUUCACAUUUCUCCUCCUUCUGUGCUCUUAACUGCUGUGCACCUGGGUCGCUAAAGGACUGCCUAUCAUGAGCUGAGCCCUCCCAGCUGUGGACCCUGGGGGGUGGGAAAUCUUGAAACCUGCCUGACUCAAGGGCUCUCAGCCGUUGCUUUGUCACCAACAGCCUGUUUUAACCUGCUCCUAUUGGACCUUUAUCACUUUCCUGACCCCACAAAACAAACCUGGCUGGCAAAUGCAGUGAACAGCCUCCUUGAAAAUGCAGCUUGACUGUGAUUCAUGGCCAAAAGCUGGAAUAACCCUGCCAGGCCAGAGAAAAAUCGCAGCUUCAUUGUCUGAAGGAAGAGGACUCAGGAAAAUGCAACUUCACCUGAAGCAAGAUCUUUUAUGGCUUGGCAAUCCCAACCUUGCCGGUGUGAAAGGACCGACCUACCUCUGGAACCCGGAGGGCAACUGUGGCAGCAAAAUCCCAAAGGUAAUUUUCACCUUUCUUUUAAUUUUUAAUAGGAGUAAUGCAGAAUCAAAAUGAUAGACAUUAAGUCACUCAGGCAGUUAGGUAUGCUUUGAUUUUAUUUUACCUUUUUCUACUCUCACCUUUUGUAGGAUCAUUUGUUAUUAAGUAGGAGUUGAGGGAGGCUUAAUGUACCUGAAAUAAACCUGAAACCAAAAUCA